rnacentral:rRNA from 1 species
GGCCCGCACAAGCGGUGGAGUAUGUGGUUUAAUUCGAUGCAACGCGAAGAACCUUACCAGGGCUUGACAUCCUGCGAACCUCUGGGAAACCGGAGGGUGCCUUCGGGAACGCAGUGACAGGUGGUGCAUGGCUGUCGUCAGCUCGUGUCGUGAGAUGUUGGGUUAAGUCCCGCAACGAGCGCAACCCACGUCUUUAGUUGCCAGCAUUUAGUUGGGCACUCUAGAGAGACUGCCGGUGAUAAACCGGAGAAGGUGUGGAUGACGUCAAGUCAUCAUGCCCCUUACAUCUGGGCUACACACGUACUACAAUGCUACGGACAAAGGGCAGCAAGUUCGCGAGGACAAGCAAAUCCCAUAAACGUGGCUCAGUUCAGA